UACUAUUAUGUGUUGAGAGAUUGAUCUUUGUUAGACAAGAUAUAUGUGAUUCAUGUUGCAAUGCUUUGUCCAACCUGUAUUUAACAUUGGUGUUCCAUCCAUACCUGAAUGUAUUAAGUUGAGAGGAGACAUUAAGGGCUAAUACAAAAAAACAACAACGAACGAGCAAAACAGGAAACAUCGGCAUCCGGUGAUUGCAGGUGUUUCCUGCUUGAAGCAAGGUUGCCAAGACAACCAGUGGUUUCCAGCUGGCCUGGCCAGGGAUCAGCUAAGGAACAUUCUCGAAGCUUCCAGAAACUUCCAGAAAGGCCACCUCACGUGCCGGUGAGGUAAUUACGAUAAGGUAAUGCCAGAAGCAAAUAUGUUGCCCGGACACAGAGCGGGCGCGCUUCUUCCUAGUCAGGGCGAUGGCCGUGACGCUGCCCGGAGUAAAAGAACGAAGAUGGAUUUUGCAUUAUUUUUGAGAUUGAACCAAAAUCUACUAAGAUGAAUUCCCAGAGUCUUCGAAUUGGACUUUGUCAAAUUUUAAGCUUCGAGGAAGGCAGAGGAGCAAGCCGCCACCGGGCAGAAAGGAGAAGUCGCCACUUUUACUUUUUUGGCUACGCUCCUCACGGCCAGACCUUUCCUCUUUUUUAAACAGAAUUCGGAUUUUGGAACAAAGGAGAGCCGAUCACUCGACCUGUUCAACCAAAUAGGAUUUUAGACCUUUAGUCUCCUCUCUUGUUCUGUGUGGAUGCUCAACCUUGGACGACACUACAGAUAUCUUCUAGGCCUAAUCUAACCUAUCCUGAGGGGUCUAUUGUAAUCUUGCAAGAUCAAAGAUUGAGCUGGACAGCCCUGCACUGUAGUUACACAUCACAAAAUCAUUCUGUUAAUUCCUGUCUCUUCCAGACUAGAUCUGACCUUGACUCGUACAUGCUGUGCCCAUGUUACAGGAUUAAUACACAUCACUCACACCCAUAUUCAUAGCUUUCUCCUUAAGAGAAAAACCAGAGCAAAUUUCACAGCCAGUCCAGUAAAAUAAAAUACAGCAAUCAUGUGUCAUAUGUUUAAAGUAGGGGUGUAACGAUUCAUGGAUACACAUCGAUUAAUCGAUAUAAUGCUCUACGAUUUAUUGGCAUCGAUGCUAAACGUAAACAUCGAUUUAUAUCGCCGUGUUUGACCUCGGACAUUAGACGCGACUUUAUUUUGAAAUCCAGUUCAUUGUUGCUUGCUUCCUCUUCCCGGGAGCAGUGCGCGGAGUUGUUGUGAGCAGAGCAGGCACGUGAAAGGGGAGUCGACAACUAGUACGCGGCUCCUGGGCUGGUGCUAUGGCUAGUGUCCAAAAAGACGAGGAAAUUUGCUCCCCUUUAGGCUUCAAGUCAUUCGUUUGGAAGCACUUGGGAUUCCAAAGAAAAGAUGGCUCAACGGACAAGACACGUGCAGUUUGUAAAUCCUGCCAUGCGGUGAUCAAAUAUUCAGGGAGCACAAAUCUCGCCGCACAUUUAAAGAAAAAACACAUCAAAGUUCAGUGUUAAAAUAAGCACUUUGUAUACUACAAUACUCUUGUAAUUUCCUAAAUAAAGAGUUUGCAGUA